rnacentral:rRNA from 1 species
UACAGAGGUCCCGAGCGUUGUUCGGAUUCAUUGGGCGUAAAGGGUGCGUAGGCGGCGGGGAAAGUCUGAUGUGAAAUCCUGGGGCUCAACCCUGGAACUGCAUUGGAUACUUCCUUGCUAGAGUACUGGAGAGGAAACUGGAAUUUACGGUGUAGCAGUGAAAUGCGUAGAGAUCGUAAGGAAGACCAGUGGCGAAGGCGAGUUUCUGGACAGUUACUGACGCUGAGGCACGAAGGCCAGGGAGCAAACGGG